rnacentral:rRNA from 1 species
CCCUUAGAUGUCCUGGGCCGCACGCGUGCUACACUGACGCAUACAGCGAGCACUUUCCAGUUCCGAGAGGCUACUGGUAAUCAUCAAUAUGCGUCGUGAUGGGGAUAGAUCUUUGGAAUUCUGGAUCUUGAACGAGGAAUGCCUAGUAAUCGCAGGUCAUUAGCCUGCGAUGAUUAAGUCCCUGCCCUUUGUACACACCGCCCGUCGCUACUACCGAUUUCGAGUGGUCAGGUGAAUCUUUCGGACUGUGGGCGCCCUUGAGGUGUUCGCGGAAAGUCAGGUAAAUCUUAUCACUUAGAGGAAGUAAAANUCGUANCA